AGAGUUUGAUUAUGGCUCAGGACGAACGCUGGCGGCGUGCCUAACACAUGCAAGUCGAACGGAGAUAGAGAUUUCGAUUUUUAUCUUAGUGGCGCACGGGUGAGUAACACGUGAAUAACCUGACCCAAAGAGGGGGAUAACACCUGGAAACAGGUGCUAAUACCGCAUAAGACCACAAUGCCGCAUGGCGAAGGGGUCAAAGAAAAUCGCUUUGGGAGGGGUUCGCGUCCCAUUAGGUAGUAGGCGGGGUAAUAGCCCACCUAGCCGACGAUGGGUAGCCGAGCUGAGAGGCUGAUCGGCCACACUGGAACUGAGACACGGUCCAG
rnacentral:rRNA from 1 species